GCAGCAGUAACGUGACUUUAGAAAAUCACCAUAAAUUUAUGGACUUGAAUUAGAGGCUGAAUGAGACAUGAAAUUAAAGCUUAAUUAGUCUAGUUUCUUAUAAAAGAAACUGUGUAAGCAAAGGAAUUUCCGAUAAUGAGAUAUUUAAAGUUGUGUGAGAUGGUGUCAGAAUGACUCCGAAAUCCCCUGUUCUGUUUUUAGAAAAUCAUUAUAAAUUGUACAAAAAUGGUUAUAAGAUAAAAUUUAUAUGCUUAAACUCCUUAAUGAGUCUAGUUUCAAAUAAAAUCAAAUACAACACAUUUUGAAUUC
rnacentral:lncRNA from 1 species